GUCGCAUUGGCGCAAUGGUAGCGCGCAAGACUUCUAUAUGAUAGCAAUCUUGAGGUUGUGGGUUCGAGCCCCACAUGCGAUG
rnacentral:tRNA from 1 species